rnacentral:rRNA from 3 species
UAGGGAAUCUUCGGCAAUGGACGAAAGUCUGACCGAGCAACGCCGCGUGAGUGAAGAAGGUUUUCGGAUCGUAAAACUCUGUUGUUAGAGAAGAACAAGGACGUUAGUAACUGAACGUCCCCUGACGGUAUCUAACCAGAAAGCCACGGCUAACUACGUGCCAGCAGCCGCGGUAAUACGUAGGUGGCAAGCGUUGUCCGGAUUUAUUGGGCGUAAAGCGAGCGCAGGCGGUUUCUUAAGUCUGAUGUGAAAGCCCCCGGCUCAACCGGGGAGGGUCAUUGGAAACUGGGAGACUUGAGUGCAGAAGAGGAGAGUGGAAUUCCAUGUGUAGCGGUGAAAUGCGUAGAUAUAUGGAGGAACACCAGUGGCGAAGGCGGCUCUCUGGUCUGUAACUGACGCUGAGGCUCGAAAGCGUGGGGAGCAAACAGGA